GCCUCAGUUCGGAUUGCAGUCUGCAACUCGACUGCAUGAAGCUGGAAUCGCUAGUAAUCGCGAAUCAGAAUGUCGCGGUGAAUACGUUCCCGGGUCUUGUACACACCGCCCGUCACACCAUGGGAGUUGGAAGCGCCCGAAGUCUGUGACCUAACCGUAAGGGAGGAGCAGCCGAAGGUGAAGCCAGUGACUGGGGUGAAGUCGUAACAAGGUACC
rnacentral:rRNA from 1 species